ensembl:vault_RNA Vault Vault RNA
GCGCUGGUUUAGCUCAGCGGUUACUUCAGCUCAAAUCAUUUCAUGAUUACGCUCUCACCCUCACGGGUUCGAAACCACGGGCGCUGUCCAGUGCUUUU